AUGAAAUUAAGGCAAGUCAGGAUCAAAUGAAUGUUCAAAUGACUGCGAUUGGAACUAAACAGGAUGAGAUGAAGAGAAAUCAGGAUGAGAUGAAGAGAAAUCAGGAUGAGAUGAAGAGAAAUCAGGAUGAGAUGAAGAGAAAUCAGGAUGAGAUGAAGAAAAACGUGGAUGAAAUUAAGGCAAGUCAGGAUCAAAUGAAUGUUCAAGUGACUGCGAUUGGAAACAAACAGGAUGAAAUGAAGAGAAA